rfam:Stegodyphus mimosarum contig49687, whole genome shotgun sequence.
GCCUUCGUGGUGUAGUGGUCAGGACGGUCGACGCGUAAUCGAGAGGUCCGUGGUUCGAAUUCCGGCGAAGGCA